CAGAAGAAGCACCGGCUAACUCCGUGCCAGCAGCCGCGGUAAUACGGAGGGUGCGAGCGUUAAUCGGAAUAACUGGGCGUAAAGGGUGCGUAGGUGGUUUAAUAAGUUAUCUGUGAAAUUCCUGGGCUUAACCUAGGCAGGUCAGAUAAGACUGUUAGACUCGAGUACAGGAGAGGGCAGUGGAAUUUCCGGUGUAGCGGUGAAAUGCGUAGAGAUCGGAAGGAACACCAGUGGCGAAGGCGGCUGCCUGGCCUGAUACUGACACUGAGGCACGAAAGCGUGGGGAGCAAACAGGAUUAGAUACCCUGGUAGUCCACGCUGUAAACGAUGUCAACUAGCUGUUGGUUAUUUAAAUAUAGUCAGUGGCGCAGCAAACGCGAUAAAGUUUGACA
rnacentral:rRNA from 1 species